rnacentral:rRNA from 1 species
GGGAGUCAAACAUGCAGUCGAACGGGGAAGCUUAUGGAAGGAGUGCUUGCACUUUGGAAAUGAGUAUCUUAGUGGCGGACGGGUGAGUAACGCGUGGGUAACCUGCCCCAUACCGGGGGAUACCACCUGGAAACAGGUGCUAAUACCGCAUAACGGGAGAAGCCGCAUGGCUUUUCCUGAAAACUCCGGUGGUACAGGAUGGGCCCGCGUCUGAUUAGCCAGUUGGCAGGGUAACGGCCUACCAGAGCGACGAUCAGUAGCCGGCCUGAGAGGGCGGACGGCCACACUGGGACUGAGACACGGCCCAGACUCCUACGGGAGGCAGCAGUGGGGGAUAUUGCACAAUGGGGGAAACCCUGAUGCAGCGACGCCGCGUGGGUGAAGAAGCGCCUCGGCGCGUAAAGCCCUGUCAGCAGGGAAGAAAAUGACGGUACCUGACUAAGAAGCCCCGGCUAACUACGUGCCAGCAGCCGCGGUAAUACGUAGGUGGCGAGCGUUAUCCGGAAUGAUUGGGCGUAAAGGGUGCGCAGGCGGUCCUGCAAGUCUGGAGUGAAACGCAUGAGCUCAACCCAUGCAUGGCUUUGGAAACUGGAGGACUGGAGAGCAGGAGAGGGCGGUGGAACUCCAUGUGUAGCGGUAAAAUGCGUAGAUAUAUGGAAGAACACCAGUGGCGAAGGCGGCCGCCUGGCCUGUUACUGACGCUGAGGCACGAAAGCGUGGGGAGCAAAUAGGAUUAGAUACCCUAGUAGU